rnacentral:rRNA from 1 species
UGACGCUGAGGUUGGUACUUGUACCACUGGAUGAGCAGCGAACGGGUGAGUAACGCGUGGGGAAUCUGCCUUUGAGCGGGGGACAACAUUUGGAAACGAAUGCUAAUACCGCAUAAAAACUUUAAACACAAGUUUUAAGUUUGAAAGAUGCAAUUGCAUCACUCAAAGAUGAUCCCGCGUUGUAUUAGCUAGUUGGUGAGGUAAAGGCUCACCAAGGCGAUGAUACAUAGCCGACCUGAGAGGGUGAUCGGCCACAUUGGGACUGAGACACGGCCCAAACUCCUACGGGAGGCAGCAGUAGGGAAUCUUCGGCAAUGGACGAAAGUCUGACCGAGCAACGCCGCGUGAGUGAAGAAGGUUUUCGGAUCGUAAAACUCUGUUGGUAGAGAANAACGUUGGUGAGAGUGGAAAGCUCAUCAAGUGACGGUAACUACCCAGAAAGGGACGGCUAACUACGUGCCAGCAGCCGCGGUAAUACNUAGGUCCCGAGCGUUGUCCGGAUUAAUUGGGCGUAAAGCGAGCGCAGGUGGUUAUNAAGUCUGGUGUAAANGCAGUGGCUCAC